rnacentral:lncRNA from 1 species
GACACAAGGCCAAUCAAAGUGGCCCUCAGGACCAGCCAUUAGGCUCUCUACAGGAAACACUUUGCGGGGUUAUCACACACACACAUCAGACAGGAAUUCAGACUGAAGUCCCUGUAAACACAGGCACAGACUUACUGCAGAAGUUCCAGUCAAGAAAAAAAAGCCCACAUGGAGCUUGGACUUGUAUUUGACGAAGAGAACUGUGGCACAAUGGACCAACGGUGAGCGUGGACUAUGACACCUUGGACCCUUUGGUCAGACGCGACUCGUAUCAGGACAUGUCUGGUCUUCAAACAGGUUUUCCCCACUUCCCAGAACCUGGAAAUGGAAGUUUGCGCCGCCGGCUGAGGAAGAAGAGUAGAGAGGAGGGAGCUUUCCAGUCGUCUAGCCCCAGCAGUCCGGGCCGCAGUGACCGAGCUCCAUCAGCUAGCAGCGACUCGGGUCUGUCUGUAGCCUCGCAGGGACUGAGUGGGGCCCGACAGAGAGGCGAGGCCACACAGGACAAGGGCACCCUCUCAGGGAAGCUGAUCUUCAGGGCAGACCCGGAUCCUGCACAGGCUCUCAUGGAGGUCAUGGCACAGCUAGCUUUAUCCAGCGGAGCAGAGGCGGGCGUGACCAUUAACGGAAAGUCUUCAAGUGAGAGAGAGACAGAUAUACUGGAUGAUGAGGACGAAGCAGAACACGCUGUGGACGGGCCAAGCUCCGGCAGUGGUUGUUCCCUCUCGUCCGAAAAGCUAACCGAGAACUCUACUGGUCGUUGGGUACGUCAGCACCUGGCACCGAGUGCCAGCGAUUGCUUACCCGAAAAGGAUAAAGAAAGAACAACAAAGACCAACAAGCAGCGGCCUCCACAUCUGUUCGGCCCUCACACGCCUCCCCAAGGACUCAGCAGCAGGGAGGUGGUGCACACAGUGUCAGUGGACGGGUUCAAAGAUCAUACACUCACCACCUCACUGGGUCAAGAAGAAGAGUUGGCGGCACUAACUUCAGAUGUCGAUGAGUCCAUAGAGCAGCUGAAUCAGCUGAUUUUGGACUUGGAUCCCACUUUCGUUCCCGUCCCUACCUCCCUGUCCCCCUUGUCACGCACCACCUCCCUACAGAGCAACGGUCUCAGCCACAAAGGAAGCAGCCACCGAUCAGGAUGGAGGCAACAAAAGCAGAUCACUGAUGUGACUGACUACGCUGGGCCUCACAGUCCUCGAUGGAGCCCUGGAGUUCAGAGCCUUAGAGGUUCUGCAGCCAGCAAUCUGCCCUCUCAUCACAGGUAAAUGCCACUCCCCUUUUAUCCCCACCAGCAGUUGAAAACACAUCGUGGAUUGUCAAAUUUCUCCAAAGAAAACAUUUUU